rnacentral:rRNA from 1 species
ACCCGCUGAACUUAAGCAUAUCAAUAAGCGCAGGAAAAGAAACCAACAGGGAUUACCUCAGUAACGGCGAGUGAAGCGGUAAUAGCUCAAAUUUGAAAUCUGGCCUCUUGGGGUCCGAGUUGUAAUUUGUAGAGGAUGUUUUGGGUACCGCCCCGGUUUAAAUUUCUUGGAACAGAAUGUCAAAGAGGGUGAGAAUCCCGUCUUGGACCGGUGGUAGGGCCUGUGUAAAACUCCUUCGACGAGUCGAGUUGUUUGGGAAUGCAGCUCAAAAUGGGUGGUAAAUUUCAUCUAAAGCUAAAUAUUGGCCAGAGACCGAUAGCGCACAAGUAGAGUGAUCGAAAGAUGAAAAGCACUUUGAAAAGAGAGUUAAACAGUAUGUGAAAUCGUUGAAAGGGAAGCGCUUGCAAUCAGACUUGAGCGCGGCGGUUCCCCUGACCUUUUGGUUAGGCUAUUCCGUCGUGUCCAGGCCAACAUCGGUUCUGAGGGUCGGUCAAAGGCCUUGGGAAUGUAUCUACCUACGGGUAGACUUAUAGACCAGGGUGUCAUGCGGCCUCUCGGGACCGAGGAACGCGCUUCGGCUCGGAUGUUGGCGUAAUGGUUGUCAGCGACCCGUCUUGAAACACGG